rnacentral:lncRNA from 1 species
UCCCCAGGUGUCCCCAGCUGUGUCCAGGUGUGUCCAGGUGUGUCCCCAGGUGUGUCCCCAGCUGUCCCCAGGUGUCCCCAGACCCCCCCAGGUGUAUCCCCAGGUGUCCCCAGCUGUCCCCAGGUGUCCCCAGGCGUGUCCCCACCUCUUGGGCAGGUGUGCGAAGGGAUCCUUGGCUUUGGGCUCAGCUGCCAGGACCUGCUCGCACUCAUCCAGGUCCUCGUCGGGCUCCGGCCGCUUCUCCUCCCUCUUGGGGGGCUUCUCCUUCUUGGGGGGCUCCUUCUCCUUCUUGGGGGGCUCCUUCUCCUUCCGGGCCUGGCUCUCCGCAAAUUUCUUGGCUUUUUCCCCAAAAAAAAAUGGAAAAAUUUGGAGUUUUUGUACCCAAAAUCCGCCCCAAAAUCGCCCUUUGGGAUCCUCCCCAAAAUCGGUUUUAGGGCAUUAAAAAUCUUCUCAGCUUUCAGUGGAAUUCCCUUUUUUUAUCGUGGAAAUGUUCCCUGAAAUUCCAUUUUUUACCCCAGAAAAAAAGCCUAAAAUUCCCUUUUUUAUCUUGGAAAUGUCCCCUAAAAUUCCAUUUUUUAUCCCCAAAAAACCCCCUGAAAUUCCAUUUUUUAUCCCAAAAAAAAAAGCCUAAGAUUCCAUUUUUUACCCCAGAACAACCCCCUAAAAUUCUCUUUUUUUAUCGUGGAAAUGUCCCCUAAAAUUCCCUUUUUUACCCCAGAACAACCCCCAAAAAUUCCCUUUUUUAUCUUGGAAAAAAAAUUCCCUUUUUUACCCCAGAACAACCCCCAAAAAUUCCCUUUUUUAUCUUGGAAAAAGCCCCUAAAAUUCCCUUUUUUUAUCGUGGAAAUGUCACCUAAAAUUCCAUUUUUUAUCUUGGUGUGUCCCCAGGUGUGUCCCAGGUGUGUCCCAGGUGUGUCCCCAUGUCCCCAGGUGUCCCAAGGUGUCCCCAGAUGUGUUUUGGGUGUCCCCAGGUGUCCCCAGGUGUGUUUUGGGUGUCCCCAGGUGUCCCCAGGUGUGUCCCCAGGUGUGUUUUGGGUGUCCCCAGGUGUCCCCAGGUGUGUUUUGGGUGUCCCCAGGUGUGUUUUGGGUGUCCCUUUGGGUGUCCCCAGGUGUGUUUUGGGUGUCCCCAAGUGUGUCCCAGGUGUGUUUUGGGUGUCCCCAGGUGUCCCCAGGUGUCCCCAGGUGUCACUCACCGUCGAACUGGGCCAUCCUCUGGCACAGGGUCACCUCUCCCAGCACGGCUUUGAACUGGGUGUGUCCCCAGGUGUCCCCAGGUGUGUCCCAGGUGUCCCCAGGUGUGUCCCCAGGUGUCCCCAGGUGUGUCCCAGGUGUCCCCAGGUGUCACUCACCGUCGAACUGGGCCAUCCUCUGGCACAGGGUCACCUCUCCCAGCACGGCUUUGAACUGGGGCUGGUUCAGGCACGUCAGGAACCAGCGAUUCACGUUCCCAAAGGGGCCCCGGAACGCGGGGUCCAGCACCUGGGGGACCCCAAAAACGCACCUGAGUCACCCCAAAACAUCCAAAACAUCCCAAAAUCACAGCUGGGACCCAAAAACACCCCAAAAACACACCUGAGUCACCCCAAAACAUCCCAAAACAUCCCAAAAUCACAGCUGGGACCCAAAAACACCCCAAAACCACCCCAAAACAUCCCAAAACAUCCCAAAAACGCACCUGAGUCACCCCAAAACAUCCUAAAACAUCCCAAAAACACACCUGAGUCACCCUAAAACAUCCAAAAACACCCCAAAAACGCACCUGAGUCACCCCAAAACAUCCAAAAACACACCUGAGUCACCCCAAAACCACCCGAAAACAUCCCAAAAAUACAGCUGGGACCCAAAAACACCCCAAAAACACCCCAAAAAUACAGCUGUGACCCAAAAACACCCCAAAAACGCACCUGAGUCACCCCAAAACCACCCGAAAACAUCCCAAAAUCACAGCUGGGACCCAAAAACACCCCAAAAACACCCCAAAACAUCCAAAAAACACCCCAAAAACACACCUGAGUCACCCCAAAACAUCCAAAAAACACCCCAAAAAUACACCUGAGUCACCCCAAAACAUCCAAAAACACCCCAAAAAUACACCUGAGUCACCCCAAAACCACCCCAAAACAUCCCAAAAUCACAGCUGGGACCCAAAAACACCCCAAAAACACAGCUGAGUCACCCUAAAACAUCCAGAAACACCCCAAAAACACACUUGAGUCACCCCAAAACACCCCAAAUACCCCAAAAACACACCUGAGUUACCCCAAAACCACCCGAAAACAUCCCAAAAACACAGCUGGGACCCAAAAACAUCCCCAAAACAUCCCAAAAAUACAACUGGGACCCAAAAACACCCCAAAAACACACCUGAGUCACCCCAGAACAUCCAAAAACAUCCCAAAAACACACCUGAGUCACCCCAAAACAUCCCCAAAAAAAUCCCAAAUCCCCCCAAAAACCCCAAAUCCCCCCAAAAAAACCCCAAAAUCCCCAAAAAACCCCAAAAAAUUAAAAAAAAAAUCCAAAAAAUCCCAAAUCCCCCCAAAAAACCAAAAAAUACCCCCAAAAAUUCCCCAAAAAAUAAAAAAAAAACACCCCAAAAAAAUCCCCA